GCAUACUUAUGCUUGCAUCUCUCAUACUUGUAGUAGUAAGACUUCUCAAAUUUAGUUGUGAACUUGAUCUACUUGUUUUUCUCAAUUGCACAACUUCUUAGUAUAAACUUUGAACUUCAUUAUUGAUUUCUUUUAUAGGUGUUGGAAUACUACUUCCAUAGUUGAUAUUAGAAAUACAUGAGAUUUCUUGUCACGGACACAGAAUACAGACUUGAUAUCUAC
rnacentral:lncRNA from 1 species